rnacentral:rRNA from 1 species
UACGUAGGUGGCAAGCGUUGUCCGGAUUUACUGGGCGUAAAGAGCGCGCAGGCGGUCGUACAAGUCGCGUGUGAAAGCCCCCGGCUCAACUGGGGAGGGUCACGCGAUACUGUUCGACUCGAAGGCAGGAGAGGGAAGCAGAAUUCCCGGUGUAGUGGUGAAAUGCGUAGAUAUCGGGAGGAAUACCAGUGGCAAAGGCGGCUUCCUGGCCUGUUCUUGACGCUGAGGCGCGAAAGCUAGGGUAGCAAACGGG